CAGCAUGCAGAGAUCCCUGCUGGGAUUGGGGCCCCCCACUGUGCAAGGUAUUGAACCAUCACACAGAAAGGGUUUGUCUACACUGGAGUUUUAACUCAAGGAAAUAGAAGAUUAACUUCAAAGCAGAGGUCCACAAACUAUCUGCAUUGCCUAUUUUUCCCCGAGGAGGAUAGCCCUGCAGUGACAAUUAUUGUGAAGAGUUUGUCAGCCUGCUAGAGAGCUAUAAAUACUGGAUCUGGGGCAUGAUCCUGUCAUCUCUCAUCUGCUGAACUUUGAACUGGGAAAGUUCAAGCCGUGGAAUUGAGAUCUUCCAAGUAUUAUUUGGAAUACCCUGGAAAAAAUAUGGAAAGACUAACAGACUUUACAUCUAAGCUGCCUUUGGAUUCUGACCUGUUGGGAUAAUUCCAAAGAGACUUUUACAAGCCAGCAGAUAUAACAUUACUGCUAUGACCCUGAUUUAUGAACAAUGAAAAUCACUUGUAUGUAUAUGAUUCCUUAACCAUUCAAUAACUCUUUUCUUUUCUUAAUAAAUCUCUAGUGAGUUUACUAAG